rnacentral:rRNA from 1 species
UACAGAGGGGGCAAGCGUUGUUCGGAAUUACUGGGCGUAAAGGGCGCGUAGGUGGCCUUCUAAGUUGAACGUGAAAUCCCUGGGCUCAACCCAGGAACUGCGUCCAAGACUGGGAGGCUUGAAUCCGGGAGAAGGAUGCGGAAUUCCAGGUGUAGCGGUGAAAUGCGUAGAUAUCUGGAGGAACACCGGUGGCGAAGGCGGCAUCCUGGACCGGUAUUGACACUGAGGCGCGAAAGCCAGGGGAGCAAACGGG